CUGAACCUUUCACCGAGUAAGUGGAAUCAUUCAGUGACCCUGAGUAGAAUAGGAAUGGUGUGCAGCAGACUCCGGAUAGGAAUUGGGGUGUGAGCAGCAGUUUCCCUUCUCUCCUAACUGGGGACUCUCCUGAAGACUGCUUGUCACUCCGAAAGGUCUACUGAAUUUUCUAGCUGCAGAGUCACCUGGUCUCAUCCAAGUAUUGAGAACAUUAGAGAAGCACAAUACAAUCCCUUCAUGGAAGCCAAAACGAAAGUGAAUCUGAUGUUUUGCUUUCCGUGCAGAAGAUACCAGGAACAUUUUUAAGCAGCUUUCAAAACAUUUUCAAUCUAUCUCUAGGAAAAUAAUAAGAUGUAUGCAGAAAGUACUUACUUCUACAAAGAAAGCCACACAGAAGUGGACAAAGCCUGCUACCAAAAUUGAAGCUCUCCAUGACGUUACGGUUGGGAUGAACUGUUGAGGAAGAAUUACACCACCAUUACACUUGGCAUAUCUUCCACUUCGAAACGAGCACGUAUUGAUUAUCUUAUUUAAUUUAUAUAUUUGUAAUAACUCUCUGAGUCUGGAGCAUGGGCCUUACUUUUCUACUUUAAGAUGAGAAAAGUAAAGGUCAGUGCCCUACCCAGGGACUGAGUCAAAGCCAAUAAAUAAAUGCAGAGCCAGAACCCAGAGGAGAAUGGAUCCCUCCUGGGCUGUACUCCCUCCACGACCUGACAGUGUGUGUAGGGAGCAUGGUGUCAGGGAGGCCAUGUGAGACAGAGGACACUUAGGAGCUCCUAUAUCUCCAUUCACUUUACCCUUUACACAUAGGGGAGGUUUAAGAUCAAAUCCUUCGUCCACUAAUUUUAUUGCAUCUAGUUCUCCCAAAACAAUCAACUUGGAAUUCUUUUUUUUUUUUUUUUUCAGAGAAAUUGGCGUAUGGGUAAAAUCCAAAAGGGAAACAGUUGGUAAAUAUGUUUAGAAUAAAUGUUUCUGGUUCUAAAACUAAUGGCUUUAGGAAAGUCUAACUCCCUCUUUAAAGAUUAAAGAGUAUGUAAGCAUUGAUCACCGAAUACCCUGAUUUAAAAGAUGUGGGAGCCAUGGCUUUCCAUGGCUGCAUUCAUAUUAGAAGGGUAGUUGCCUAGCCCCAUUUCUGACCCCACAGAGCAGAACUGUAUGGAUGACUAUUGUGAGUCUCAGCUGCCUGGAGAUCUUUAACCACAGAGCCCUCAGUAGUGUCCAAAUGUUCACUCUAACUUAUCGUCCCUACCCCGAUGUGGCUUAUUUUGAGUUAAUAUCGGAUUAUUUUUCCCCAAGUGGAGGUGUAAAAUGCAGCUCCCUGGGUAGCAAUUUGUCUGGAGAAGGCAGACCAGCUCUAGGUGGAGGACCCAGAGUACUAAAAUGUCACUGCUGCCACCACAGUGGCGAGCUCUUCUGCAGGCUUUGGCUUGGAAGGUGCUUCAGUGGCAUUGCUGACUUUCACACCAGUCUCCCCUCUUAGUCUCUGAACUACUUGAGAGCAGUGAUGGCAUUACAUUCAAGCUUGUGACCCAGGCACCAAGCAUGCUGUGGAGCUCCAUCAUGUUUGGCAAAUGAAUGACAAUUUGAGCUUUCAUUUCCAAGCUGCUUAUGGCUCCGUGGCCUCUCUGCUCUCACGUAGAGUCCUCCUGUCAUCACUUAAUUGAUCCAUCUAAAAUGCCCUUCUGAAAAACCUGCAAUGAUUUCCUUCGGCCCCCAGCUCCAAGUCCAAACUUCUAGCUUCCUUGGUCCAUCCAUGCCUUCCUUUGUUCUUCCUUGCUGGUCCUCAUACUCCACAGCCUACCGCCUCAACUUUAGCGAAUCUUCUAGCCCAUCUGUGAAGCAAGCCUUGCUUUUGAUUUUUAUUCCUGCCACCUACAUUCUUUACAUUGCGAGGACAAAGAGGUUCUCUCGGCCCCUCUCUGAUUGUGCUGAGGUCGUCUUCUUGGUCUGGAGCAGCCCCACCUCCUGCCCAGCAACAUCCAGCCCAUGCUUUUGCACCCUGAAUAAGGUGCGUCCCCUCCCUGAGGUCCCCAUGCAGCCACAGUCCCCGGUGACAACUCCUUCCCUUGUCCUUCCUGCAUCCAGCUUUACACUGUCUUCAAGCACAGUUGGCAUCUGAUGGCCACACCUUUGUUCCACCUCAGUGCAACUCAUCUUCACAACAAAAGUGUGCCAGAAAUUCAGGAGUGAAUCUUUCCCUUCCUUUUAUACUCUCAUCAUACUGGGUACAAGAAUGGGUUCAAUAACUUCAUCAUGAAUUUAAUUUUAACUGUAUAUCUUGGCUUGGAUCAAAUGAUGUUCACUGACUUAAAAGUCCAUGUACUCAAAGUCUGACAAAGCAUGACUGGCCUAUAAGUCCACUUUUUCUUUCCUCUACAGCUCCAUUACUAAAGAACUUUCACUACAUGCUUUAAAAAGUUAGACUUGGAGAAGUAUCGUAUUCAUGCACUACCUGUACUCCAUUAAUAUAACAGAAUAAGGUAUCUAAACACAAUAUUUCAAGUGUCAACAAGAUAAAUGCACUUAAAUAAUGAUAGUAAUGAUGUGAAGGCAUAUGUAAGACUCAGGAACGUUAUUUACUUUUCUGGUUAAUAGAAAUAUAUUUAGCAGUCAGACAUAAUGCUAAGUGAAAUAAAUCAGACACAGAAGGUUAAAUACUGCAUGGUUUCUCUGAUACCAGAGACUCAAACUACAAAUAGUUUAAAAAACAAUAUAAAAGAGAGAGGGUGGCAGACAGGAAUGUAGACUGUGGAGAUCGGGAGGGGACCUGGGGAAGCUGGGAAAGAGGAGGGAGGCGGGAGGGGGAGUAAACAUGAUGGAGAUGUGACAUGUACACAAUAGGCAUUGAUUUCCCAAGCUAAUGUGAUUAUUACCUAUCUCAAACACAUGUUGAUAAAAAAUGAAAAAGCUAAAAAAUGAAAGAAAGUAAUCUUUAAAAAUAUUUAGUUGACAAAUGAAGAUUGAAUGUGUUCAAAAAUAUUUAGUGAUUGGAGAGAUGAUGGCAACAAUCAACUUGCAAAUUAUAAUGGAUAAUGAAUAUGAUCCAGGGCACAUUAAAUCAUAUGAGAGGUACAAAUAAAUAACACUUACCUCCAUCCCUUGGUAUAUAUCUUGAAAAUCAGAAAACAGAAUGAAAAUUGUCAGGCCCAAGGCAGAUAUCAGCAGAAACGAAAAUAUAUC